AGAUGGUGGCACUGAUGGGCUGGGAUAUGAAUGGGAUACUGGUGUGUGGGAGGUACCGGAGAGACAGGACGGGGAUGAUGAGGGUGGCGCUGAUGGGCUGGGAUAUGAAUGGGAUACUGGUGUGUGGGAGGUACCGGAGAGACAGGACGGGGAUGAUGAGGGUGGCGCUGAUGGGCUGGGAUAUGACUGGGAUACUGGUGUGUGGGAGGUACCAGAGAGACAGGACGGAGAUGAUGAGGGAGGCACUGAGUGAGAUUGGCUGCUGGGAUGUGAAUGGGAGGAUCGCAAGGACGGAGAGGGAAUGGAUGCUGCUGGGACUAAAUGAUGAAGCAAAUUAUAGAAUUAUAGAAGCCAUGAAGAGUUUCCUGGAAAAUAUGUGCAGUGCAAGACAUAGGUCACUUGCUUGCUUUGGUUUAUUUUUACAAAGCGUACCGAUACGAAAGACUGACUCCCCAACGGGUCACCUGUACAGCAAGAUCAAGGGCAAGGCUUCAAACCCGCCCCUUCCAGCCUUCCUGUCAAAGUGUGGCGGCCCAGCACACACCAGGAGCAAGUCCCCGCCCCAGAGGCCGUGACCCGUGACCCGCACAGCACCCGGGGCGAAGGAUGUUUUCCCGUGAGUCUUUCCCUCCACAAGGACGAGAGUGCCCCAGGAUCUCAAGACAUGAAGCACAGGUGUUUAUUACGGAGAUAUUAAAUGAAGACCUUCCUCUCGCUCGCCCUCCAAGCCUGCCAUGGAUAAAUCGGAUAAUUCAAGCAUUUCACAAGAGGCUGCCUUUUCAGAACAUAACUUUCCUGAGCAAGACGGAGAGUUGCUGCGUUCCGUCAUGGGAGGAAAUACGGACGGACGUACUGAAGGAGGGCAAGGGUGGUCUGUGCCUCUCCCUUAACGUUGCAUUUGCCGCCAUCGUGAGAGCCUUCGGGGUACUGGCCUACACAGUUCCGGCAGAUUAUGUGGCAACAAGUGGAAGAAGUGUACAUGUCCUUACAGUUUUUCAUAAGUGUUCUGCAGCUGGAAAUCAUCCGAGUGCUGGAACGAUGCACGAAGUGACAUCUGGGAGGAAGGAUUUGCGUCGAAGUUCCAGAUUGAAGCAAAAACAAUUAUGUGAAUGUGGAGUUCGAUGCUCUCAGACACUUGACUCCUUUCCUAGAAACUCCUUGUAUGUGGCAGAUGUCGGCUGUGGCUUCCCUACAAGAAAAUCCAUAAAUCUGUGUGAGGACCUCGGCAGACCCUUUGUGGACUGUGGUCUUGAAUAUUGCUUCAUGAACAAUGGCCAUAAGUUCCUGAGGCUUCAUAGAACUGGCGAUGACGUACCAGAAGGAGAACAGAAAUCCUGCAUGCAUGAAUGUGCCUACAGAGGACCUAUUACAUUAUGGAUCCUUCAUUGCACGAAUACCCUACGCCCCUGUCCACCCAGCAGUGAAUGGGUACCAGGAGUUUGUGAAUGGAGAAGGGUGGAGGCCCGUCUUCUCCUUUGCCCUCACUCCACAACCCCUGAGCUACUUCUGCAACACUAUGAGGUCGGUAUAUGUUGACAAGGAGGCCUCUCCCUACUUCACUGAGCUGCACGCUGUUCGGUAUCCAGGUGGCCGCGCACGGGUGAAGCUGCCACAACGAACAUUGGUGAGGUAUAGAUACUGCACCUUCGAAAGUGACUCAUGCAAGAUACGGUUAAGGUAAGGGUAUGUAACCUAUGUACAAGUGUAGCUAGUGGUCAACAAUUCCCGAACAGCACAAAUUUUCGGAUAUAAAAUCACAUUCCAAUAUUUGAUCCCACGGAGAGCUUGUUUCUGAAUAUUGGAGGUUUAAGUUAUCCCUCCAUCAGGUCAUACUUUUCAAUAAUAUUACAUUAGUUAAAGAAGAAUUAGUGUGAGGGCUUGCCUUUACAAACAACAAACCAUCUGCUCUGGGUCACAAACUUUGGGUCCUGCCGUGUCAUGUUGGGCAUUGCAUAUUUCUCCUGCAACGAAUUAGACUCUAACGGCCAAACUACCACAACUUGCAUCUUGAACGCACCCAGUAUAUACAUUCUCAUCUGUCAUCAAAUACAAGAUAGACGUGAAAAUAAUUCGUAAAUGGAUGUGGAACUUGGUAGGCUGUAUGCUGUCUGCCCAACCUAAAUGCAGUUUGGAUUACAGGAUCAAGGCCCGAAUUGGUGACUGAUGUACGAACGUUUUCCAUUUCAGUAUACAGUCAACCCUCAAAUAGUACGGUUUCCAAUAGUUCGAUUUCGGUUUUAUACGGUUUGUCAUAGUAGGUCUUUCAGGAUUUUUAAAUAUCCUGCACGUCGGAAAAUUUAAAAAUCCUAAAAAAUCUUAAUAAAAUCCACAUAAAACCAAAACUUAAUUACUGGAAACCGUACUAUUUCAGCGACGACUGUAUUAAGUAAUUAAACAAACCCAGUGGGACUCGUACUCAAGAAUACACCUGUUAUCAUCUGAGAGCAAGUAUUUCAUUGUUUUCCGUCAUGUCAGUAAAUGAUUCAGUACCAUGAUACAUGGAACAAAUGCUUCCCGGCUGCUCUCAGUUACACUUAAUUAUUGACAAAAGUCUGCCACACAGCAUCCUCUUAUUUAUGAAGGGUAGACAGAAAAACAAGAUAUAUUUACAUUGUCUGUCAACCUUUACGCCAAGCUACCGUGGACUUGCUAUAAAAAAAGGAAAGGAUAACAAUGCUUUCACUAUUUAUUGAAGUAGUAUUGUACUAUCCCUGGAGCCAAAUACUGGAAUGCAUUGCACAUUAGAUGUUUAUAUAUACUGCCAUCAUGUAGGAUUUCUUAUACAAAAACUUGGAAGUACAUUUGCGACUGGCUCAGUAUCCAGAAAACACAUGUGAUGCUUGGUUGUCUUGGUGGAGGAAAGGACUUCUCCGCCCACCCUCCAGCAUCAGGCGUGAUGGAUUCCCUCUCAGCAGUGUUUGGUUAGGGAGACAGCCAACAUGUGUACGUCAGUUAUAAGGUAAGCUUAUUUCAACAUGUUAUUACGGAACAGAAGUUGUUCCUUAACUUGAGACGUCCCGGUGUGGUUGAGCAGGAGAAACACCACAUCAAUGUCCUUCACGAUAUUCUAACCUGUUGAGAAAUGAAAAGAUAAGUCACCUGUUUUGUAAUUUCAUUUUUAGUAAAUGUCAAUUUUGUAUUUUCCUGUAAAACUUUGUGUUCACUUCUCUCAACCCUUAAUAAAAAUGUUAAAUAUCUUAUACUCUCCAUUACUUGUUUGACUUGCCAAAAUUUUUAUAUUUUUUUCAGCAUUCAUAUCACUUGGGGUAGGCGGUGGCUGAGUGGUAGUGUGCUGGGCAUACAUUCACCGCGUGAUGGACGACGCGGGUUCGAAUCCCCACGCUACCACCUGGGAUUUUUCAGUCACCGCCGAGUGGCUUAAAACUACCCACAUGCUGUCCUGAAGACCACCCAUCAACCCGGACUCUAGAGGAAACCGUCCAAGUGAAUCAAGAACGAGUUCCGGGGGGCAGCAUGAGCCAAGAGAAGAUG